GCGAAUAUAGCUCAAUGGUAGAGCCAUAGCCUUCCAAGCUAUUGAUGGGGGUUCGAUUCCCCUUAUUCGCUCCA
rnacentral:tRNA from 1 species